AGCACUCUGGCGAAGGAGGGUAUCGCGUUGGGCUCAUACACAAACCUUUCUACUCUGAUGAGUGGUGAUACCCAAAGGUCGUCGGAUCGAAACCGACGAGUGCUA
rnacentral:tRNA from 1 species